rnacentral:rRNA from 1 species
GACGAACGCUGGCGGUGUGCUUCACACAUGCAAGUCGAACGAGGUAGCAAUACCUAGUGGCGGACGGGUGAGUAACGCGUGGGAAUCUGCCUUUUAGAUGGGGGGAUAACGGGUCGAAAGACUCGCUAAUACCGCAUAUGACGAAAGUUGAAAGGAGUAAUCCGUCUAAAGAUGAGCCCGCGUCCGAUUAGCUAGUUGGUAGAGUAAAAGCCUACCAAGGCGACGAUCGGUAGCUGGUCUGAGAGGAUGAUCAGCCACAAUAGGGACUGAGACACGGCCCAUACUCCUACGGGAGGCAGCAGUGGGGAAUUUUACGCAAUGGGCGAAAGCCUGACGUAGCGACACCGCGUGAGCGAAGAAGCCCCUUUGGGGNGUAAAGCUCUGUCAGCUGGAACGAAAAAAAUGACGGUACCAGCAGAGGAAGCCAUCGGCUAACUACGUG